UUUCCAGUCUUGCAUUUUUUAUGCAAGAUUUUCUAUCUUUUUCUUGAUCAUCAAACAACCCUCCGUAUUUCUUUUUCUCCCUCUCGUUGGUUUGCUUUUCGGAGCAAACCUUCAUUUUAAUUGAUAAAAGAGUGAGCAUCAAUUAAAAUGGGAGUUGCAGGUACUGAUGCAUCCGUGGCUUGAAGGUGGUAAGGUUAUAAAAAGGUAGGAAGAUGAAGAAGGUUGGAUAUGAGAACAUGGUGGGGCCAACGCGGUCAGAUUUUUAUUCAUGACGAAUAUGUUGGAACGUAAUGAAGGUCAAUGAAAGAGGCUUUGCAAAUAUAAUAUCAUCUUAGCAAGCUACAGUUGUCUAAAGAAGUGGGAGUAAAAAUGGGAGCAGCUAAAAAAUUACAUUAGAUUGAGGGUGC
rnacentral:lncRNA from 1 species